rnacentral:rRNA from 1 species
UACGUAGGCAGCAAGCGUUGUUCGGAUUUACUGGGCGUAAAGGGUGUGUAGGCGGUCCUCUAAGUUUGGUGUGAAAUCUCCCGGCUCAACUGGGAGGGUGCGCCGAAAACUGGGGGGCUAGAGUGCGGGAUGGGAAAGUGGAAUUCCUGGUGUAGCGGUGAAAUGCGUAGAUAUCAGGAGGAACACCUGUGGUGAAGACGGCUUUCUGGACCGCAACUGACGCUGAGACACGAAAGCGUGGGUAGCAAACAGG